rnacentral:rRNA from 1 species
UAGGGAAUCUUCGGCAAUGGGGGGAACCCUGACCGAGCAACGCCGCGUGAGUGAAGAAGGUUUUCGGAUCGUAAAGCUCUGUUGUUAAGGAAGAACGAGUGUGAGAAUGGAAAGUUCAUACUGUGACGGUACUUAACCAGAAAGGGACGGCUAACUACGUGCCAGCAGCCGCGGUAAUACGUAGGUCCCGAGCGUUGUCCGGAUUUAUUGGGCGUAAAGCGAGCGCAGGCGGUUAGAUAAGUCUGAAGUUAAAGGCAGUGGCUCAACCAUUGUAGGCUUUGGAAACUGUUUAACUUGAGUGCAGAAGGGGAGAGUGGAAUUCCAUGUGUAGCGGUGAAACGCGUAGAUAUAUGGAGGAACACCGGUGGCGAAAGCGGCUCUCUGGUCUGUAACUGACGCUGAGGCUCGAAAGCGUGGGGAGCGAACAGG